UACGUAGGUGGCAAGCGUUGUCCGGAUUUACUGGGCGUAAAGAGCGCGCAGGCGGUCGUUCAAGUCGCGUGUGAAAGCCCCGGCUCAACUGGGGAGGGUCACGCGAUACUGAUCGACUCGAAGGCAGGAGAGGGAAGUGGAAUUCCCGGUGUAGUGGUGAAAUGCGUAGAUAUCGGGAGGAACACCAGUGGCGAAGGCGACUUCCUGGCCUGUUCUUGACGCUGAGGCGCGAAAGCUAGGGGAGCAAACGGGG
rnacentral:rRNA from 1 species